UACGGGGGGAGCAAGCGUUGUUCGGAUUUACUGGGCGUAAAGGGCGCGUAGGCGGCCUCUGCAAGUCGACUGUGAAAUCUCCGGGCUUAACCCGGAAAGGUCAGCCGAUACUGCAGGCUAGAGUGCAGAAGGGGCAACUGGAAUUCUCGGUGUAGCGGUGAAAUGCGUAGAUAUCGGGAGGAACACCUGAGGCGAAGGCGGGCUACUGGGCUGAUACUGACGCUGAUGCGGCGAAAGCCAGGGGAGGCGAACGGG
rnacentral:rRNA from 1 species